UUGUCUUGGCUCAUUAUUUUUCUAGCCUGCCCAUCCUAUUCCAUCCCCAACUCUCUGUCCAGGUGUACCUGGUUCUCCAUGGCCACUGGAUGGCUACAGGUGGUGCCCAUAUGAGGAGCUUGGACACAGGGCCACCAACUGAGGGCUGUCCUCGGUGGAGCUCCACAGAAAACAGUAAAAGUUAUGUAUUCUACAUGGUGGCAAAAUUGAAAGUAAAAUCAGCACCGCUGAUACCAUGCUGAUGAUGAUUGCAUCAGUGCCAUUAUUGGAGCCUCCUUUAGAAGAAAAUUAGGAAGGUCUAUGCAUCUGGAAUUGCAGAUGGAUCCAUCAAAACAUUAUGGAUUCCUUUUUGACUUCUUCAGCCCUGGAUCAUCAAGGACAAGGGUGGAGGGUGAGAAGACAGUGGACAUCACCAGAAAGAUAGCAAUCCUCCAGCUAAAGGGCAAACAAAGAUAUCAACCAUAUCAUCAGAAGUCAAGUCUGCCCACCUGGGGUCAAUUUAUAUAGCCCUAUGCACCAAGGGAGAAGUUAUUCUAUGGAGCACAGAGAGCCCCAUGUCACCUGAGAAUCUUUGGCUGGCGAUGCUCGCGGCUGUGACCUGUGCAUCUGUGGUGAUGGCCUCUGAACAUGUGCAUUGGUCUUAUGUUCCCCAUCCUUCUUUACUUCAGCUUGUAGAUUAGAUGGAUCCAGAGCCUGUUAUCAUUACUAACCACUGGGGCUUACGGAGGACCUUGGGGUCACGAUAGACUCAUUCAUUCAUCUGAAGAUGAGCCUGAGUCUGCUUUAUUUGUUGGAAUUUUAAUCAUUUCCCAUUUGCGUAGAGCAUCAUUACAUUUGUGUUUAUAUGGGUUUAUGUUUUACAAGGUAUUAUAACUACUAAUUAUAUGGGCCUUUUUUCAAGUUAUUCUCUAGACUUUUCUGAUCAAUAUAAUCAUGUAACCAAAUAGUUCUGGACAUGGUUUGGAUCCUUGUUCUUGAUGGCAGAAUGCUUUUACAGUGGCUUCACUGUUCUAACAUUGCUCAUUACAUUUAUAAUUUGCUUGCUGAUAGGAUAGCCAUGCAUCAAAUGACAAUUAGAUUUAUCAACAAUAUCUCAAAUCAAAUCUCUGAACAUCCUACUACUAAAAAUAAAAAAGGAUGGAGAUUUUGGAACAUGGUCCAAGAAUGAAAUCAUAUGAGGGGAAUUCAGAGUGCUUACGAGAAAAAGCCAAGAAAGUAGGACAGGAGUCUUGUGACCUCAGUUUCUAAAAAACAACAACAACAAAACACAGAAUAGUUCUUGGAGUAUGCUUCUAUGCCCCUCCCAGAUUUAUCAGAUAGAGAAGAGUGUACUUCACUUUAUCCAUUACAACUGGUCAUUGUUAUUUGUUUAUAUGUAUUUAUGAAAAAGCAUGUUUUUGCCUAGUAUGGCUUGCCUGUCAUGUGUAGUUUGCCCUUGUGAUUAUAUAAUUUACUCAUGUGAGUCUUCUUAAUCCUC